ACUGCUCAGUAACACGUGGACAACCUGCCCUGAGGACUGGAAUAAUCCCGGGAAACUGGGGGUAAUUCCAGAUAUGUCAGAACUCCUGGAAUGGGUUCUGGCAGAAAGGCUCCGGCGCCUCAGGAUGGGUCUGCGGCCUAUCAGGGUAGUAGUGGGUGUAACGUACCUACUAGCCUACGACGGGUACGGGUUGUGAGAGCAAGAGCCCGGAGAUGGAUUCUGAGACAUGAAUCCAGGCCCUACGGGGUGCAGCAGGCGCGAAAACUUUACAAUGCGGGCAACCGCGAUAAGGGGACCUCGAGUGCUGGGUUACAAACCUGGCUGUUGGGCUGCCUAAAAAGCAGUCUAUAGCAAGGGCCGGGCAAGACCGGUGCCAGCCGCCGCGGUAACACCGGCGGCUCGAGUGGUAACCGCUAUUAUUGGGUCUAAAGGGUCUGUAGCCUGCCGGCUAAGUCUCUUGGGAAAUCUGGCAUCUCAAGUGUCAGGCUGCCAGGGGAUACUGGUCGGCUUGGGACCGGGAGAGGUGAGAGGUACCUCGGGGGUAGGGGUGAAAUCUUGUAAUCCUCGAGGGACCACCAGUGGCGAAGGCGUCUCACCAGAACGGAUCCGACGGCAAGGGACGAAAGCUAGGGGCACGAACCGGAUUAGAUACCCGGGUAGUCCUAGCCGUAAACGAUACUCGCUAGGUGUCGGCCACGGUGCGACCGUGGUCGGUGCCGUAGGGAAGCCGUGAAGCGAGCCACCUGGGAAGUACGGCCGCAAGGCUGAAACUUAAAGGAAUUGGCGGGGGAG
rnacentral:rRNA from 1 species